rnacentral:rRNA from 1 species
UACAGAGGUCCCGAGCGUUGUUCGGAUUCGUUGGGCGUAAAGGGUGCGUAGGUGGCGCUGUAAGUGGGGUGUGAAAUCCCGGGGCUUAACCCCGGGACUGCAUUCUAUACUGCGGUGCUUGAGGACUGGAGAGGAGACUGGAAUUUACGGUGUAGCAGUGAAAUGCGUAGAGAUCGUAAGGAAGACCAGUGGCGAAGGCGGGUCUCUGGACAGUUCCUGACACUGAGGCACGAAGGCCAGGGGAGCAAACGGG